rnacentral:sRNA from 1 species
UUUCCAGUCUAGGGUCGCCGAGAGUGGGGGUGGCUGGGAGCAGCGCAGCCUCCUGAGGAGGAGGCGGAGGCCGAGGACCAGGAAUCAUCUUCAAGCGUAUGUCGUGAGGCUUUGGCAGAAAUUAAGAAGGAAAUAUCUCCAUUGUUCAUUGGCAUGGAUAAAUGUUCAGUGGGAGGAUUAGAAUUGACUGAACAGAGUCCUGCGUUAUUAGGGAAUAUGGCCAUGGCAACUAGUCUCAUGGACAUAGGGGAUUCAUUUGGUCAUCCAGCUUGUCCUUUAGUCAGUAGAUCUAGGAACUCACCAGUGGAAGAUGAUGACGAUGAUGAUGUUGUGUUUAUUGAAUCUAUACAACCUCCUUCAAUUUCUGCUCCAGCAAUAGCUGAUCAAAGCAACUUUGUAUUUGCAUCAUCAAAAAAUGAAAAGCCUCAAGGAAAUUAUUCUGUAAUUCCUCCUUCUUCAAGAGAUUUGGCAUCUCAGAAAGGAAAUAUAAGUGAGACAAUUGUUAUUGAUGAUGAAGAGGACAUAGAAACAAAUGGAGGAGCAGAGAAAAAUUCUUCCCGUUUUAUUGAAUGGGGACUUCCUGGAACUAAAAACAAAACCAAAGAUUUGGAUUUCUCCACUUCCAGUCUUUCAAGAAGUAAGGUAAAUGCAGAAAUGGGUAAUAGUGGUAUCACUACAGAAUUGACUCUGAAAUAUGUUAUUACUAAUGUUACAACCUUAGAAACAGGUAUAAGCUCUGUGAAUGCUGGGCAAGAUGUGAACAUAAUGAUUACAUAUAAAACAUCACUAUAGAAUACCAACUUGGGAGAUGUCGCUAAAGGACUUCAGUCAAGUAAUUUUGGUGUUAAUAUACAAACGUACACCCCAUCUUUAACUCCACAGACCAAGACUGGAGUAAGACCUUUUAACCCUGGUAGGAUGAAUGUGGCAGGAGACUUAUUUCAGAAUGGAGAAUUUGCAACUCAUCAUAGUCCUGAGAUGCAUCUACAAAGAAGGCUAAUGUUGUUCUUCCAGUAGAAUCAAGCAAAUCCUUCCAAGAAUUUUGUAGUACAUCUUGUUUGUCUCCCUGUGAAAACAACCGGAAUCUUAAAAAAGGAAUUUUUAAUAAGUCAAGAUGUACAAUUUGUAGUAAAUUAGCAGAGGUCUGGAUUUUUAUACCUAAGUUGUUGUUUAGGCUAACAGUGAUAAUUUUAACUUUUAAGUGCUAUUAUGUACUCUUUCAUCUACAUAAUGCACAUGUUCUGGAUGUAUAACAAGCUAAAAGGAAGAAUAAGGAUAUGUUAGAACUAUCUUAUGGGAUAUUUUAUAAAUAAAAUUCCAUUUGCAUAGC